rnacentral:misc_RNA from 1 species
AAGCUCCUUUGAGCCUUGAAGGUAUGUAUAGUUUUCCUCCUUUUUUUCUUUUUAAAUAACAGUAUGUAUAAUUUAUGUUGAAAAUCUGGCACAGGAUCAUAAACAGGCUUAUUGUCUUCUCAAAAAAAUUUCAUAUACAACUUUGUUGGCUGCUAGAAGCCAAAAUCCUUUCAAAUGGCUCUUAAAAGAUUUGGACCACAAUAAAGCUGGAAAUUUUAUCUGUAACACUGUCUUACUGGCAUUCUUCAAAAUAUAUUAAGAGUAUAUAUCCUUGACCUUUUUUUCCAGCUUCAACAGUGAUAGUUUGCUCUUCAGUCUUCUGAAAUAGUUGUUCCAUUUCAGGUAAUGCCCAAAACUGUAGUUCUCCAGAAGCAGUUCACAAAGUAAGG